UACAGAGGCCUCGAGCGUUAGGCGGAAUCACUGGGCUUAAAGCGUGUGUAGGUGGAUGCCUAAGUACCUUGUGAAAUCCCACGGCUUAACCGUGGAACUGCUGGGUAUACUGGGCGUCUUGAGCCACUCAGGGGCUACCGGAACAAGCGGUGGAGCGGUGAAAUGCGUAGAUAUCGCUUGGAACGGCCAAUGGUGAAAACAGGUAGCUGGGGGUGUGCUGGACACUGAGACACGAAAGCCAGGGG
rnacentral:rRNA from 1 species